GCGCAAAGGUCGGGGCGCGGGGAGCAGCGGGCAGCCCUGCCGCCGCGACGUGCAGCGUUCCGCGACAAGCUCCUUCCCGCAAGUCCUUCCCUUCUUCGUACGUAGUUGUCAAGAUGAGGAAGACAAGCAGGAGGAAGUCCUCAAAGAAGCACUUGACUUUGAAAACUGGCAUUUAUACUACUUCUGAGAACUUGGAGGAUCUUCAGAAAUAAAACAGACCAGAAAUCCACACCACCAGUGAUGCACAAGGUACAGGUAGGCAAGCACCAACUUUUUAAGUUAACUCGAUAGUCUCAUAGAAACAGAUCUGAAAAAAUUAGCAAGUUAAGAGAAGUGACAAAAUUAGGAAGAAGAUUAUUAAUAAAACUAGCAUGGGAGCAGGACAGACAUAGAUACAUAGUUUGUAUAAGUUUUCCAGAAGCUGGAAGAUGUCCACAGUAUUGACACCAAUAGCUUGACAAGCUCAACUUCUACGCUGGAAGAAAUUUACUGUCAUAUUGGCUGGAAGCAUUUACAGAACUAUAUGCUUAUAAACCAGAGAUUAAUAACCAUAUGCACCUUUAGAAGACUUCUAUAAAGUAUCUUUAAUGACUUGGUUCAUGUCAUUUUAAAAACAGUCAUUUUCAAGAAGAAAAUCAAUACAUUUGUUGUAUUGACUUUGCUUUCCCAUUCCUGUUCCUAUCUUUGCUAAUGGCUUGACAUCCACAGUAUGUACAGUCUGAUGCUUGGGAAGAUUAUUGAAAAUUAAUCCCAAGUUUCCAGCUUGCUAAUUAUAGUGCACAAUUAUUGUGGACUUCCCUCACCAUUCCCCUACCUCAGUAUAACAAAAGAAGAAGAAUAUUUUUCUGUGAAAGCCUCCAAAAAUGCCAAAGAUGUCAUUAGCAAAGUGUUCCUAUAACCUAUAUAUAUGGCCUGUUUAACUUUAAAAAUUGAUAUGCAGUCAUGCAGAUGAUGGAAGAAAGUUACUGGAAGAGAACAGCUAUCAUGAUCUGGAGAGCUGUAUAACCUAUCCCCAUUGACCGUGGGAAUCUGUCCUUGCUCUUUCCUGAGGAAAAAAUCUUCAUUGCAUCUUAGCAGAAUUUCUGCAGGUAGGUAUCAGUGAGAAAAAUUUUAGCUCCUAUUCCUCAUGACCCAAGCUGAACUUACUCACCUUUAUUAAAUGAAGAAUCUCUGCAACUGGGCUCAGUAAAGUGUAAUUUAACCAGAAAUCUUAUUUUCAUCAAAUGAAUUGGAUUGGGUCUGUUUUUAUCAAGGCCACACACAGAGUCCUUUUAAAGGAAGAUGCCAUAUGAUCUCAGCUAGGUAAGUGGAUUCUCAAAACACAUCCCCAUCUCUUAAAACAAACAAGAAAAUGGGCAUGACAAAAUCCAUGUUAUACAGUAUGCUGUAUAUACAAAUUGAAAGACUGCAUCUCAGUUUUUCCUAUUACUCAGUUUAACGGGAUUCGGUAAAACAUGGAAGCAAAGCACCAAUAGCCAUCUCUCCCCAAGUCCUUGAAGAAUUCUCAGCAUCUCCUAUGGGUCUUCAGGCCUCUAAAGUUUCUUCAUUUGCCCCACAAGUGUCUACAACACAGAUUAAACAACUUGUCACUGGGAAAGCACGGACUUUGGAGUUGGCUAUCCACUUGUCUGUUUCAGUAUUAUAUUCAAGAAUGUGCCCUAAUCGACCAACACCCUGAAAACCAGCCAGGACAUAGACUAUAGAUCCCACAGCCGCACACUUCACUGUUACACCUUUCCAUGGCAUUGGAGACACCAUCUUCCAUUCAUUCAUCUUGAUAUCGUAAUAUUCUACAUUAUCAAGGCCACCUACAAAGCAAUGAAAUAGAUAAUUGCUUAUUACAUUAUACCAUACAGACUGAACUAGAGCAUGCAAAUGCUUCAUUAAACUUAGUCUUUGUUUUCAAGUUUAGAUCAAAACAAUCCUAGAGUAAAAAACAAAAAACAAAAAACAAACAACUUGAAAAAAGGUCACAGAUUUCUAAACUAGCCGUUUGCCCUGUUACAAAUACAGAAACAGAGAAAAGUAAAAAGGAGACUGAAAGUGAGAUGUUUUGUAACAAAUUUCACGUUAUGCGCUUUCUAGAGAUUCUAGCGUGUUACUUCAUGAACAGAAGAACUAACGGUUCCAAAUUUCUUGUGGAAUUGUGGCUAGUGACUAAAACUCAGGAAUCCACCUGAAACCUCCCUAUAGCGAGGGCAUUUUUUUCUAGAGGGGUCACCAGCACCUUUACCUAAAUUGGUCAUUUACUGAUGGAGGAUGACACUCUUCAUUAUGAUAUUAAGACUGUUGACAUUUAAAAGCCUAAGUCCUUUUGAAAAAGGCUAGUAAUUACAAUAUCUACAAACAUCCUGGUAUCCCUAUUUAACAAUUUUAAUAUAAGUCACAGGGUUUUUGCUUGCAGUUUUGAAUUAUUAGAUCCAAGAGAUUAAGAAACUGUUAUAUAAUAUUAAGAGGUAAGAAUAUUUCACCCCAGACAUAGCUCUUCCCCAUUAUAUUACAAUAAGAACAAUUAAUCAGUCAGGCUACAGUAUAUGAACAGCAAAAUAAUACUUAUUGGUUCAGUAGUACACACCUUUAAAAUGAGCAUUGAGUGAAUACACUAACAUUUUGCAAAAUGGCAGCUCUAGCUAUAGCUGAUUGAUAAAGUGCACAAAAAAAAUGCAUCUACGGAUAUUUUUGCAUUAGAAAUCAAUCAUGCUGGAAUAGCUUCAGUAGCUAAUUAAAAUACAAGCUACAUUCUAAAAUAGCAUUAAUCUGAAAUCAAAUACUCCAACUACCAUAAAUAGUGAUUAAUAAAUCUCAUAGCUGAGAAUUUUUCAAUUUUGAAAAGCUCUUCAGAAACUAACUAAAAUUCAGUUCUCCUAGGAAAUAAACUAUUAUUAUUCUAGUUUUAAAGACAAGCAUAUAGGCAGAUCAUAAAUGACCUGCCCGUGACAGUAAGUCAUAUUUCAAAAUUAGGGCAGUCAAGAAAGUUCUCACUUUGUCACCGCUUUAAAAUAGCUAACUAGCUUUAAAUCUUUAGGCUGAAGUUCCUAAAAUAGCGGUUACACUUUUACCUCUCUCUCAAAAGAAUGCAAAAAACCCCCUCUCAAAAUACAUAAUGAAUAACUAAAAAAAGAUUAUCUUUUCUGAUGCCCUGUUUAGCCGUACUAACUACUGCAAAACUGGGCUACAGUAUGGGUGCAUGUCUGAAUUUGAUAGUACUAACAUGAGCACAAGAGCUUGAAAAAUAAGAUACAGUGAAAUAGGGAGGUGAAAGAAGGAAGGCAACAAUGACACGACAACAGCAGGACAUGUUUUAAGGUACUGCUCUGAAAAACUGAAGUUUUUCAGCUGAAGAGAGUAAGAACAAGUUCUUCGCAAAAGAAGAAAGGCCCCCAUGAAACCUUGGGUGACCAGCUAAAGAAUGAAUAGUAUUUAAGUACCUAAGCCAUUUUGUCCACCCACAGCAAAUAUUUUGUCCUUUACGAACACCAGCCCAUGAUUCUUCCUGGCUUCAAUCAUUGGACACAGUUCAGUCCACCUGGGGAAAAAGAAAACCAAACAAAACAGGAAAACUCACUAUUUAGUUCCUAUAAAUUAAAUAUAAAAUAUGUGCGUAAAACCUAGCACUAGGAAAAUGAAACGUGGAAGAAAGCUGCUAAGAAAACUGCCUUUGAAGUAAAACUACAGAAACCUGAUUUAUUACUGCUGAACUCAGGAGAAUUCCCUACCAUGUACAAUUUUUACUAUUCAUCUAUACUUAAGUUAUUUACAGAGCGAGCAGAGCCACAGGUGACCAAAAAUAAUCAGAAUUGAUGCAAUACUUACGUUUCUGUGGAUGGAUCAUAAACUUCACAGGAAUUUAGGACUCUCCCAGAAACAUUGUUUCCCAAGCUUCCUCCACAUACAUAAAUGAGACCAUUCGCCUCUACCAUUCCGUGGCUGCAUCGCUGAGUCAGCAUGCUGGGCUUUGUGUGCCAGCUUUCUGUUCUUGUGUCAUAGCAUUCAAAUAAAUACAGUGCAGAAUUUCCUUAAAAAAAUAGAAACCCACCAAAGUGGCAUUAAUUUUUAUGGUUGUCUUUCAAGAGAAGAGUCUAACAGCAACUAUCAAAUUGAUGUUUUAUUAGUUAGUUGAAAAGGGAAAGCUGCUUUUCUGCCUCCAGAAGCGGAACUAAGCAACUUGAAACUUGGGACUAUUCAGAAAGUACAUACUUGUAAUUCUUUUGACUCUCUUGUUCCAAAAUAUGCAAGUAAGUUUAUAAAAUUGAUAUUUGUGUUUAAAAACCAAAACAAAUCAUAGGGUGGGUUUUUUUCUUUAGGGAAGAAUAAACACUGAACAGAUAUGUAUGUAAAUUACCUAUCAUUGUCAUCAUCUCAUGCUACUCUCACUAUUUGGAAAUAUAUUAAACUUUCAAAUGUGAACAUGAAACCAA